rnacentral:rRNA from 1 species
UUUAGCCAGUAUGCCUGAGCAUAGGGAACUUUAGUUCAGCCCCCCGAUACUAGACGAGCUACUUCAAGAUAGCCUAUGUUGGGCAAACCCGUCUCUGUCGCAAAAGAGUGGGACAAUCUUCAAGUAGAGGUGACAAACCUAUCGAGCCUAGUUAUAGCUGGUUGUCUGAGAAAUGAAUAUGAGUUCAGCCUCCCGACCCCCCUUAUCCAAGACAUCCGUCUCCUAAGAACAAGGGCGACCGAGAGAGUUAGUCAAAGAGGGUACAGCCCCUUUGAAAAAGGACACAACCUCCCUGGGAGAUAAAAGAUCACAGUAACUUAAGGAAACUUGUACUAGUGGGCCUAAAAGCAGCCACCUAAAGAAAGCGUUAAAGCUCAUACAAACACCGACCACUAAUACCGAACGAUUCUCUUCACUCCCCCCACACUAUCAGACCCUCCCACAAACCAUGGGAAAGACCCUGCUAAAAUGAGUAAUAAGAGCGAACUGCCGCCUCUCCACCGCAUACGUGUACCUCGGAACGGACCCACCGCCGACAAUUAACGAACCCCCACCCGAGGGGCAUGUAAUACUACCCAGAUAACAGGAAAACCAAACACACAACACCGUUAACUCAACACAGACAUGCAUGCCAGGAAAGACUUAAACAAAGGGAAGGAACUCGGCAAACAUAAGUCUCGCCUGUUUACCAAAAACAUCGCCUCUUGCAAAACGAACGAAUAAGAGGUCCCGCCUGCCCAGUGACAUUAGUUUAACGGCCGCGGUAUUUUGACCGUGCAAAGGUAGCGCAAUCACUUGUCUUUGAAAUGAAGACCGGUAUGAAUGGCAUCACGAGGACUUGACUGUCUCCCCUUUAAAGUCAAUGAAAUUGAUCUCCCCGUGCAGAAGCGAGGAUACACCCGUAAGACGAGAAGACCCUAUGGAGCUUAAGACAUAAAGUGACCCCCUAAAAGGAAGAAAACUUGGAGGGACUCACCGAAAUGUCUUCGGUUGGGGCGACCGCGGGGAAAGACAAAACCCCCGCAUGGACUAAAGCUACCCUUGCUUUAAAACCUAGACCCACCUGUCAAAUUAACAGUACUUCUGACCACUAAGGACCCGGCCUACGCCGACCAAUGGACCGAGUUACCCUAGGGAUAACAGCGCAAUCUCCUACCCGAGCCCUUAUCGAAUAGGGGGUUUACGACCUCGAUGUUGGAUCAGGACAUCCUAAUGGUGCAGCCGCUAUUAAGG